AAAGUAUGUGGCUUCAUACACAUCUUAUUGAGGAUAUGAUCACUGUUUGCUGUGAGAUAUUCAAGGGUUCUGUCCACUAUGCCUGGGCAAGUGUUCCAUCAUAUCCAAGUGGUGUGAUUGGAUUUCUCCUAUGCUCUACAGAGGGGCCACCUGUUGAUUUCUUGAAUCCUGUCAAUCCUAUAGAGAAGUUAAAAGGAGCCGUCAAAUAUAAGAGGGAACUUAGGUUCUAUAACUCAGAGAUCCACUCAGCUGCAUUUGCAUUGCCAACAUUUUUGAAGAGGGAGGUGAGAUUGCUUUGCGAUUCUCCAAUGCUAGCAAAAGGAAUCAACAUUUCAUAAUCUGGUGGCUCUGCUUGUAAGAAUUUUAUGAUGAGUGGAAAUUUUUGUUAAUGGGGCCUAGAUUCUAGGCUGGUAUUAAACAUAUAGUUGCACGGGCAACGAUCUUAUUGGUUGUCAUAUAUUAUGGUUUCUAGGUACAUCUAACUAGUUGAUGGGUUAUUACCACACAAUGUUUUGGUGGAUGAUAGGAACAACCUCAUCUAGGGGAGUGAUGAAAAAU
rnacentral:misc_RNA from 1 species